rnacentral:tRNA from 1 species
GCCCAGGUGGCGGAAUUGGUAGACGCACCACCUUGAGGGGGUGGCGGGCUCCGGCCUGUGGAAGUUCGAAUCUUCUCCUGGGCACCA